rnacentral:rRNA from 1 species
GUGGGGAAUUUUGGACAAUGGGGGCAACCCUGAUCCAGCCAUUCCGCGUGAGUGAAGAAGGCCUUCGGGUUGUAAAGCUCUUUCAGCAGGAACGAAACGGUGGCCACUAAUACUGGCUACUAAUGACGGUACCUGAAGAAGAAGCACCGGCUAACUACGUGCCAGCAGCCGCGGUAAUACGUAGGGUGCGAGCGUUAAUCGGAAUUACUGGGCGUAAAGCGUGCGCAGGCGGUUCCAUAAGACAGAUGUGAAAUCCCCGGGCUUAACCUGGGAACUGCGUUUGUGACUGUGGGACUCGAGUGUGGCAGAGGGGGGUGGAAUUCCACGUGUAGCAGUGAAAUGCGUAGAGAUGUGGAGGAACACCGAUGGCGAAGGCAGCCCCCUGGGUCAACACUGACGCUCAUGCACGAAAGCGUGGGGAGCAAACAGGAUUAGAAACCCUAGUAGUCC